rnacentral:rRNA from 1 species
AGUGAACGCUGGCGGUAGGCCUAACACAUGCAAGUCGAACGGCAGCACAGUAAGAGCUUGCUCUUACGGGUGGCGAGUGGCGGACGGGUGAGGAAUACAUCGGAAUCUACUUUUUCGUGGGGGAUAACGUAGGGAAACUUACGCUAAUACCGCAUACGACCUACGGGUGAAAGCAGGGGAUCUUCGGACCUUGCGCGAUUGAAUGAGCCGAUGUCGGAUUAGCUAGUUGGCGGGGUAAAGGCCCACCAAGGCGACGAUCCGUAGCUGGUCUGAGAGGAUGAUCAGCCACACUGGAACUGGGACACGGUCCAGACUCCUACGGGAGGCAGCAGUGGGGAAUAUUGGACAAUGGGCGCAAGCCUGAUCCAGACAUACCGCGUGGGUGAAGAAGGCCUUCGGGUUGUAAAGCCCUUUUGUUGGGAAAGAAAAGCAGCAGGUUAAUACCCCGCUGUUCUGACGGUACCCAAAGAAUAAGCACCGGCUAACUUCGUG